GUCUGAGGGCUAAGGGAUGGAGAAAGAAGCUUUCCAGAGCACAGCUGUCCCCUUAUCUUGUGAUCCCAAACUCUUCUCCCCUCCCCACAGCUGAAUUUAAUUCAGACAUUUAAAAUUGAUAUUGUGAGGUCUUUCCCAACCUUAUCAGCCUUUGGCCUUAGCAGACAAACAGAAUCAAUGUUCCUGCCAUCUCUCUGGUGUAGCAUUUCCAGUCUUGGAUGCAUUACCAUCAGGUAAAAAAAAUACUGUAUGCUUUCUUCUGUAAUGCACUCACAGAGGAACCUGCACCAGCAAUACUCCUGUAAGGCAUCUACAUCAAGCUCUAAAGUUCAGCAGAAUGAAUCGCAGCAUGUACCUCAGACCACUGUGAGGACAAGCAGAACUGGAACUGAAAGACAUAGCAUCUCCCAUGCUGGCCAGAGUGACCAGAAAUCAUCCAGGCAUGCCAGUACAGAAAUAGCUCCUUGUUAAUCAAGCACGUGCAUUUUGUGAAAGCUUCUGGGCCUAAAACAGGCCAGAAAGCAUCACUGUGUGUUGCUGCUGAAUACCCUGACUACUUCCAAGGCAGGAAGAACCACAUGGAAGAGUUACUGGCCAGAACAAGAGCUGCCUGCCAGUCAGCAUCUAAUUAUGCCUAAUGGAGGCCAACAACGCUGUCUCUAAUUACGUUUACCUAGGAGGUACCACAUGUCCCUUUUUGUCUUGGAUGCAGGAAGGCAACAGGUGAAACAGUUGUUUUCCUUCUCUGUUGCAAGGAUCUUCUGUGGCUGUGCUUCCAAAAGGCUGUUGGGAAAGGGCCCAGGGGAAGAAGAAGGCUGGGGAGGGCUGGGCACCCAGGGCUAGAUUUACCACAGGAGCUGUCUGAGAGUUGUUGGGAUCGCGAGCUGCAGGACUCCACACACAGCAGAAAUUAUAUCAUUAGUUUUCAAGCUGAGCAGAAAGCUUCAAGCUGACAAGCUCUCUGCUGUGUAAGUGUUGUCUAAGAAACUGUCCUUUCUUUGACCAAUUAAAGCACCUUUGCUGGUAGGAGCGUGUGGGUAGCUGUGCUGAGCUCAGCAGUGCCUCCUUUCCAACUCCCAAAGAACUUUUUCUGAGUAGUCAAAGCAAGGCCAGUGCCACAACUAUUCUCCCACAAAAAUGCUCUGUUCCUGAACAGCCACUUUUAGCAGGAUUUCUGCAGCCACUGUCUAAGAGGAUACAGAACCAGAUAAGUAAUUAGCAAGUACACCAUCAGCAAUUGCCUUUUUUUGAUAAAACAGCCCUGGGCCAUGAGGAUUCUGAAUUCUUAUGUUCUGGAGGACGUCAGCCCAAACUUAUUCAAGGAAAUAAAGUGAUAGCUAUUAAGAGUACUCAAUAGUUUGCUGUUUAUAGCAAAGGAGCAGAGCAUGAGCAAGGAACUAUUUCCCUUACCGAGUGCAAGAAGCAAAUGCCUAGAAAGUGAAAUAGUUGGGGUUCAGUCCCUGCUCCAGGAGCUUUAAAAGAGCUCUGAGGAGGGGGAGGAAAAAAAAAAAAAAAAGAGCAGCUUGAACUGGAGAGAUAUAGUCCAGAUCAGCCUGUAGCUCAGGCACUGGAUCAGUUCCCUUCUUAAAGACAGGCAGAUCUGAAUUCAGAUUUCAUUCCUUUCGUGACCUAAUGCCAUUAUGGGAACUGAUACAUGUAUAAGGAACAGCACUAUCACUUACCCCACCUUGUGACUCAGAACCUUUGAUUUUAUCAAGCCUCUUCAGAAACAAAUCAGGACAAGGCUAUAAUCUACUUUCAUGUUUUGUUUCAACAAAAAUCUGUCCAUGCUGGACAAACCUUUGCAUGCAGUCUGGUUCUUUCACCUUACAGAGGGUAGAAGUUGAAAAACAGAGAUGAAGGCAGCAAGGAUGGACCAAGGCAGGGAACAGUUUCUGUAAGGGAAUAAUGAACAGAUGAGAACUCUUCAACCUAGAAAAAGGCAAAUGAGGAAGGCUACAAACAAUGAAUGGUGUUGAAAAGGUGACGAGGUAAUGAUUAUUCACUGCAUCGCUCCACACAAAAACUACAGGGCACCCACUAAAAUUAUCGGGUGCCAAAUUAAUAGGAGAGAGCAGGUAUUUCUUUGCAUAAUGCAUAAUUAUAUUGUCACAGGCUGCUGUGCAGACCAAAAGUGUAGAUAAACUCAAAGAGUCAUUACAGAAAUUCAGGGAGGGCUAGUCCACUAGUUAAAAAAUAUAAAAUAAAAGAAAAAGAAAAAAGAAAAUGCAGUCUCAAUGCAACCUCUGGCUCAGGAAAGCAGCGAUGGAUAGAUCACUGUUGACAUACUCUCCCUUGUGCUUUCUCUGAGCAUUACUGCUGAAGUGCCAUUGUCACUGCGAUAGACAAGCUACUGGGCUAACCUCUGUACAGCAAUGUUAAGGUUCUUAGCCUGAUGCUAAUUGUCUUUUAUUUUUUGGCUGAGAAAAUAGGGUAUUCACACAACUCACAACACAGGUGUAGGAUAGAAAGACACACAGGAUGCAGGCACCAUGCCCACUCUCCCAUGUCACUGUUGGAUAAACACUUUAAUUCAGAUAUUUUGAAUAUACAUGCCCUACAACUAUACCUAUACAUGCAAAAGCACUACAUUAUAGUCUAUAAAGCUACCAUGAUACAAUAUUUAUAUUUGAAAAAUGAAUAUACUAAGGCAUUUGCCUUAUCUCAAACAGAGCAAUAAUACUUCACACUUUCUCCUGCUAGGCUAUAUUUAGCUUUCCGUCAUUGUGCUGCUUUUUCUGUGCCAUUUUCUAUAACUUUAUAUUGCCCCCAAUAUGUCCUUGUUUGAGAAUUCCGCCUCACAGAGAGGCACAGCAGCUGUUUCUGACACAUUAAGGAGCAAACUAAAAAGUUUGUUUAUUCAAGGAUAAACACUGCAGUUCCUUUGCAUAACAUCCUGGUCUAUCUUUGCAUGAAAUUUGAUCAGCUGCCUGGUAUUGCCCAAUACCAUACAACCCAGUAAGGGCUUCCACCAGAAAGCUAAUGUUUAAAACCACCUAAAGGAACAUCUCAAACUUGUUUGACAUCUCUACUACUGGAGAAGUCAUAAGCUGGGGUAGGUAAUGUGGAGAACUGGCCUAGUUCUUGUAGGAAUUCUUUUUCCUCUUCAUGAAGGAUCACUUCUUAGCUAAUCCUCAAAAGGGCUCAAUUUUACCCUCCUGGACAUUAUAGCUUCUCAGGCUGUCUACUACUGGAUCUGUUGCUGAAUAUCAGUGCCCUGGUGUAGCAACCCCUGCUCCUCCAAGCACUUGGUGAUUCAGAGGCAGUAUUGACAUUUUUGCAGAAGACCCACUACAGUGACCUAUGCCAAAAGAAACCCCUUACUCUUGUAAGAAAGUUUGAUAUCUGGUGGCACAAGUUAUGAGGAAAUAAAGUGCAUUUCAGUUAACUUUGGGGC